rnacentral:lncRNA from 1 species
CUCCAGAUAUUUUUUGAUUUCUCUUUUAAUUUCUUCAAUGAUCCAUUGGUUGUUCAGUAGCAUGUUGUGUAGUCUCCACAUAUUUGUCACUUUCCCAGCUUUUUUCCUGUAGCUGAUUUCUAGUCUCAUAGCAUUUUGGUCAGAAAAGAUGCUUGAUGUGAUUUCAAUCUUCUUAAAUUUAUUGAGGCCUGUCUUGUUUCAAAACAUAUGGUCUGUCCUUAGAAUGCUCCAUGUGCACUUGAGAAGAAUGUGUAUUCUGCUAUUUUUGGAUAGAAUGUUCCAUAUAUAUCUAUUAAGUCCAUCUCGUCUAGUUUUUCAUUUAAUUCCACUAUUUCCUUGUUAACUUUCUGUCUGGAUGAUCUAUCCAUCGAUGUAAGUAGAGUGUUGGGGCCCCCUGCUAUUAUUAUGUUGUUGUUAAUAUCUCUUUUUAGGUCUGUUAAUAGUUGCUUUAUGUACUUUGGUACUCCUUUGUUGGGUACACGUAUAUUUAUAAGUGUUAUGUCUUCUUGUUGGAGUGUCCCUUUUAUCAUUAUAUACUGCCCCUCUUUGUCUCUCAUUGCCUUUUUUAUCUUGAGGUCUACUGUGUCUGAUAUAAGUAUUGCAAUAACUGCUUUCUUUUGUUUGCCAUUAGCUUAGAGUAUCAUCUUCCGUCCCUUCACUCUGAGCCUGUGUUUGUCUUUAGAGCUAAGAGUGUUUCCUGGAGGCAGCAUAUUGAUGAGUCUUGUUUUUCAGUCCAUCCCACCACUCUGUCUUUUGCUUGGAGAAUCCAAUCCAUUUACAUUUAGAGUGAUUAUUUAUAUGUAAGGGCUUAAUGCUGCCAUUUUAUCACUUGUUUUCCAGCUCUGUAUUUCCCUUGUUUCUCGUCUUGUGUAUUUUGGACUGCCAGUUCAGUUUGGUAGUUCUCUAUGAUGGUUUUCUCAGUUUUCUCUUUUUUCUUGAGGAAGAUUGUUGCUGAGCUAACAUCUGUGGCAGUCUUUCUCUGUUUUUUGUGUGUGGGAUGCCAGCACAGCAGGGCUUGAUGAGAGAUGCAUAGGUCUGUGCCUGGGACCUGAAGCUGCAAACCCUGGGUGGCUGAAGCAGAGCAUGCGAACUUAACCAUUAUGCCACUGGGACAGCCCCUCAGUUUUCUUUUUUUUGUAUCAUUUGUGUCUCUGUUCUGAUUAUUUGUUUAGUGGUUAUCAUCAGGUUUGUAUAAAAAAUCUCGUAGAUGAGAUAUACCAUUUUCUGAUAGCCUCUUAUUUCCUUGGUCUAAGCCAGGUCCAUCCCUUUCCUCUUCCUCUGAUUUGUUGGUCAUAGCACAUUCUGUUUUGUGUUGUGAUUUUGUGGUUAAAAUCACAAGAUUAUAGUUAUUUUUGAUGCUUUCCUUCCCUUUAUCUUUCAUGUCAUAAUUAAGUUUUUGCUAACCUCUUCUGGUAGAGAGCUGCAAUUUUCUGACUUUGGCUGCCUAUUUAUCUCCUUGCUCAAGGCUUUGUGAACUCUUUUUUUUUUCUUUUUCAGGUA